AUUGAACGCUGGCGGCAGGCCUAACACAUGCAAGUCGAACGGAGUGGCGGACGGGUGAGUAAUGUCUGGGAAACUGCCCGAUGGAGGGGGAUAACGUCCGGAAAAGGGCUCUAAUACCGCAUACUAUCAGAUGAGCCUAGGUCGGAUUAGCUAGUUGGGGGGGUAAAGGCCUACCCAGGCGACGAUCCGUAACGGGUCUGAGAGGAUGAUCAGUCACACUGGAACUGAGACACGGUCCAGACUCCUACGGGAGGCAGCAGUGGGGAAUAUUGGACAAUGGGCGAAAGCCUGAUCCAGCCAUGCCGCGUGGGUGAAGAAGGUCUUCGGAUUGUAAAGCACUUUAAGUUGGGAGGCGUUACCAAAAGAAUAAGCACCGGCUAACUUCGUGCCAGCAGCCGCGGUAAUAC
rnacentral:rRNA from 1 species